rnacentral:lncRNA from 10 species
CUCCAUCACUUUGCAGGCCAGAGACCCUUGGCUGGUGACAACCCACCUGGGCCUCGCUCAGCCACACUGGUAUGCCCCAGUGUUAUAGCCUGUACCCACAAUCAGCAGUUCCCAAGCUCUUGUACUGCACCCAAGAAGAAUGAGGAUAUGGUGAACAUUGAAGUGUGAGGAGGGUGGCCUGAAUUUUAUUGAGCGACGGAACAGCUCUCAGCAGAGGGGAUGCAGUGGGGCGAUUCCGCUACCGGAAGGUGGGCAAGUCUCCCAUGUGGCUGGGUCCAGGGUGUUUUGUGGACUCAGAAUGGGGAGUGCAUGCUGACUGGCUUAUAAGUAUGCAAAGUGAAGACAUCACCCAAAGAAUCCUUGGCCAGUCAAAUCUACAGGGUAUCUCUCCUCAAGCAGUAAUCAGGGGUCCAUGAUUGCCAUGACAGAAGAAGAAACAGAAGAAUAAUGAUUGCUGGCUGUUAACUUCCUCGGCCUGGAAGUCAUACUCUCUGCUCACCUCUCAUUGGUUUGGACCAACCUACAGUCCCGUAGUGAGGGUAAGAACAUAGAAAACACAUGCAUACUUUGGUGAGCACUAACAACCUCUGCAAUAAAUAUAAAUAAGGUAAAGGCAGACUACAAAAAGAAUAAAAAUCCAUAAACAGAUUUUAAAAGUAUAUUAUCAUUAUUAUUCAGAGAGUCUUCCUCUGUUGCCUAGGCUGGAGUGCAGUGGUGUGAUCAUGGUUCACUGCAGCCUUGACCUCUCACGUCAGCCUCCCAAGUAGCUAGGACAACAGAUAUGCACCCACCACACCUAGCUAAUUUUGUAUUUUUUAUAGGGACAAGGUCUCACUCUGUUGCCCAGGCUGGUUGCAAACUCCUGAGCUCAAGCAGUCCUCCUGCCUUAGCCUCCCAAAGUGCUGGGACAAAAGGCAUGAGCAACUGCACUAGGCCAAAAAUAUAUUAUUUUUACAGGAAUGUUUGGAAGGCUACUCAACAAUAAAUCUGACAACCUAGCUUCAAUAGACAAAUUCUUGGGAAAAGAUAAAGAACCAAAAUCGGAACAAGAAGAAUGUUAAAGAAUAGCCAAGGCCAGGCACAGUGGCUCACACCUGUAAUCCCAGCACUUUGGGAGGCUGAGGUGGGUGGAUCACAAGGUCAGGGGUUUGAGACCAGCCUGACCAACAUAAGGAAACACCGUCUCUACUAAAAACACAAAAAUUAGCCAGGCGUGCUGGUGCACACCUGUAAUCCCAGCUACUCAGGAGGCUGAGGCAGGAGAAUUGCUUGAAAACCCGGGAGGUGGAGUUUGCGUUGAGCCGAGAUCGCCAGAGCGAGACUCUGUCUCAAAAAAACAAACAAACAAAAAAACAAAUAGCCAUAUGUUAACAAAAAUGGAAAUAGUAAUCAAAAAUCUCUCUCUAUCCUUGCCUUGCUUCACAAAAAAAUAAAAAUAAAAAUAAAGCCCCUGUUCCAGCUAUCAACUAAUUGUCCUUCAGCUGUAUCCCUUCUUUGUUAUCCUGCUUUGCGAUAGUAAAGCUGGACCCUGUAAACAUUUCUUCUUUUCCAGUUGGCAUGGUGGUAAGUUUUGUCAGUAGAGAGCGCUGGGGGACACUCCCGGUGGAAUGACUUCUCUCCUUGGUUUCCAAAUGCCACUCCUCUCUUUUGCAGUGAGACCUUGUCCCUAAAAAAUUAUAAAAUUAGCCAGGUGUGGUGGGUGCAUACUUGGGAGGCUGAGGUGAGAGGUUGAGGCUGCAGUGAACCAUGAUCACACCACUGCACUCCUGCCUAGGCAACAGAGCAAGCACUUCUGCAGCACUCAGCCUGCAUGAGGGAAACCCACUGGCACUCAGUCCUUCUAGUGAGUUCCUGUGGAACCCCCAUGGUGGCAUUCUAGUAGGCUCUACCAGCCUGCCAGCCAUCCUCCCAGCCAUCCUCCCAGCCAGCCUCUCCCAGCCAGCCUCCCAGCCAGUCUCCCAGGAGGGAGUUAGGUGUCAUCUCCACAAGCGAUUUUGUUGGCAAGUUCUGUAAGCUCCCAGCUGACAUUCAGGAUGUCUCACAGGCAAUCCAGCAGACAGUAUUCCAGCAAGUUCUGCUGCCCCCCAGUUCCCUUUCUAAAUAACCUCACAGGCAUCCCAGUGGGUGCUUCCUAUUGAGUUUGAGCAGAACUCCAUGGGCAGGCUUCCCAGAGGGCAGCUAACCUCCUGCAAGUUUUGUUUACACCCUAGACACAGUUUUCUGAUGAUCAACCUGGGCCUUUGACACCUCAGUCAACUUUUACACUAUUCAGAGGGCUACAGUCACACCCUUUCUAACAAAGUCUAAAUUAGCCCCUGUUGGAGGUGGGGGAACCCUCUUCCAAAUUUGUUCCUCCCUUGGGUCCUCUGUCUUAGCCCUAGUAGUUGUGACUUUUCCAUAGGGGGAAUACAUUCUACAUCUGUAUUCCUUGGAGUUCCUUCAUUAUCAUUUAAUAAUUCUUUUCAUUGCUUUUUCUGUUCAACUUAUUCUAUAACUUCUGUCUCCUGACUAGAUCCUGACUGAUGUAGCCCAAGACCCAGACAGUUUCAAAAGGAGAGUGCACCAAACGUCAAGGCACAGACAAUCCCAAUUUUACAUAUCAUCAAAAACAAAGAAAAAAGGAAAGGAAAUUUAUUUUAUGAUUCUAGUGCAAUUCACAUUCUCAAUCUAGAUUAGGGCAAUACAUUAAAACACAAUUUCAUGUCCUUCAAUAGGCAAAUCCAUAAAUGAGCUAUGGCACAUCUGACAAUAGGAUGUUAUUCAGUGAUUUAAAAUGUGAGUGUUCAAACCAUUUUUAUAGGGCAGGAAGGACAGCUGCAUAGGUGAAGCAGAGGGGAUUUUUAGAGCAGCAUAAUUGUUGUGUAUGAUACUGUAAUGGUGGAUACAUGCUAUUAUACAUUUACCAAAACCCAGAAAAUGUGCAUCAACAGUGAAUUCCAAUGUAAACUAUAGACUUUUGUGAAUAAUGUAACAAUAUUGGCUCAUCAAUUGUAAUAAAUGUACCGUGCUAAUGCAAGAUGUUAGUAAUAAGGGAAACUGGGGUAGAGUGGAGAGUAUAUGGGAACUCUCUGUAUUUUCUACUCAAUUUUUCUGAAACUUAAAACUGCUCCCCCCCAAAAAAUAAAACACAAUUCCAGACCUAACUUACUUAUGAAUAUAAAGCAUAAAUGCCAACAUGAUGACAUGAUGUUUUUGUUUCUUUAUUUCUUUUUUUUUUUUUUUUGAGAGACAGGAUCUUGCUCUGUCGCCCAGGUUGGAGCGCACUAAUGAGAUCAUAGCUCACUACAGCCUCAACCUCCUGGGUUCAAGCAAUCCUCCCAUUUCAACCUCCCAAGAAGUUGGAACUAAAGGCAUGUGCCACCGCUCCCAGAUUCAGAAACACAUCAAUGAAGUUCAGCACUCAUUUAUGACAAAAACUAUCACAAACCAGGUAAGAAAUAAAUCUCCUUAAUGUAAUAAAGUCUACAUCCUGAAACUCAAUAGUAAAUGUAAUUCUUAAUGGAGAAUAUUUUUAAAAGUAAGAUAAUGUAAAAAUUGCCUUUAUAUUGAGAGGAUAUUAUAAUUUGCAUUGAACAUCCAGUAGAAUCAACAAACUAUUAGAAAGAGUUUAUCAAGCUUUCUGAACAUAGACAAGUGAGCACAUUUUCUUAUCCCAGCAAUAAGCUAUUAGAAUAGUAGUAGAAAAUAAGAUACCACUGAAAAAACUACAAAGUAUACAGAAAUUAACCUAAUAAAAUGCACAAAGUUUUUAUAGGAAAAAAAUUUUAAACCCUAUUGAAAGCCAUACAGUAGACUUGAGUAAAUACAGAGAUUACUAUAUCCAUGGAGGGUUUGACUUAACAUUGUAAAGAUGUCAAUUCUUUCCAAUAGUACUCUUUAAAUUUCAUUAGCACUGACUGCUGGCUCUUUCCUCCAAACUUCACCUGGUUAAACUACGAAAGAGGAAGGAAAGCACAGAUCUGAGGAUUUCACAGCUAUAACAAAAACAAAUGAACAGAAAGCUGUGAGAAACACAUUGGAAGACAAAAGGUAACUCAUGAUUUAAUGUGGAUGGAAACCAGCAGCAUGGGGUAGGUAAAUGUUAAUGCCACAGCCAGCAAAUAGAAUGGAGGAAAACUGUAUUAUUUUUAAACUUUUAUCAUAGAAUAAUUUUUAAAAGUACAAACAUUAAGAGAAUAGUAUAUGGUAUUCCCUUGUAACCUCCUUCACCCAUGUUCAACUCAUGGAAAAACUUUUUCACUUAUAUUCCACACAUCCCCUACUCAACUUGGAUACUUUUGCCCAACUGACUUCAAAAGGCUACUGUGCACGGGCAUGGUGGCCCAUGCCUGUAAUCCCAACCCUUUGGGAGGCCGAGAUGGGAGGAUUGCUUGAGCUCAGGAAUUCAAGACCAGGCCAAGCAACAUAAUAAGGCCCUGUCUGUACUAGAAAUCAAAAAAAUUAGCCAGGUGUGGUGGUGCAUGUCUGUAGGUAUUCCCAGCUACUCAGGAGGAUGAAGUGAGAGAAUUGCUGGAGCCCAGGAGGUUGAGGCUGCAGUGAGUUGUGAUUGUGCCACUGCACUCCAGCCUGGGCAACAGAGUGAGACCCUGUUUCAAAAAAAAAAGAAGGCUACUGUAGCAUUAAUUUUCAAAUAAUGACUGAGUAAUAGAAAAUCAUAAUCCCAUUUCAUUUAUGAAUGAACAUGACAUGAACAUUUUAAAUAAAAUAUUAGGUAAUAAAAUUUCAUACUUACAUUUAAAAUAAUAUUUUUUAAAUAAUAUGUUUCAUAAUGGAACCUAUCAGUAGCAUAUGACACUGUUGAUUCCUCUCUUUUUCUUCAUUUUCUUUUCUUGGCUUAAAAGCUAUAACUUUCUUUUGAUUCUCCUCCUACCUAAGAAGUUACUCCCUCUCAAGCUUCUUCUUUGGUGUGUCCACACUUUCCCAACUUUUAGCAUUAAAUUUCACCAAGACUGUGUCUCAGACCUCUCCUUUUCUCAAUCUAAACUUAUUUUCCAGGUCAUCUCAACCAUGCUUGCAACUUGAACUACCAUGACUUCCAAAUUUAUAUCUUGACCUUUGACUUGUCCUUAAAUGCGAGACUCAUGUAUGUAAUUCCCUACUUCACAUCUACACUUGAAUAUUUAAUAUACACUUAAGAUAUCCUAAAUCAUAAUUUUGAGCUUCUCUCCUCUACCUGCCCACCACCCCACCAAGCCUUCUGCUCCUGCCCUCUUCAUUUUAUUAAAUAUCAAUUUCAUCCUUAUAGCUGCUCAUACCUACACCCCGAAUAUAUCUAUGAUUCCUCUUUAAUAACCUGUAUCUAAUUCAUCAGAAAUCCUGUUUAACAUAUCUUCAAACAUAUCAAGAAUCAGACCACUUUGCACUACCCCAUAACUACCACUGGUUCAAAACAAUGAUUUCUUAUUUGGAUUAUGCAAAGCCUCUUAACUAAUCUCCUUCAACUCAUAUCACCUCUUAAAACUCUUCUCCCCAUCACAGCUAGAAAGUUUUAUUUUAAAAGUUUUUCAUAGACUUAAUUUUUUAGGGAACUUUUGUGUUCACAGCAAAACUAAAGAGAAAGUAGAGAGUUCCCAUAUAUUUCCUACCACUACACCAAAACAGCUUUCUCCACUAUCAAAAUCCACUCCCCAAACUGGUACAUUUGUUAACAUGGAUGAGCCUACAUUGGCACAUAAUUAUCACCCAAAGUCUAUAGCUUACAUUAUAGUUCACUCUUGGUAUAAAUUGAAUGUGUUUUGACAAAUGUAUAAUGAGCUGCAUCCACCACUAUAGGAUCAUACAGAGUAGUUUCACUGCCGUAAAAGUCUUCUGUGCACUGCCUACUCAUCCUUCUCUUCCAUCUGACCCCUGGAAACCACUGAUCUUCUUACUGUCUCCGUAGUUUUGUCUUUUCAGAGUAUCAUAGAGCUCAAAUCACCCAUUAUGUGCCCUUUCCAGAUUGGUUCCUUUCACUUAGUAUGCAUUUAUUAUUCUUCUAUGUCUUUUCAUGGCUUGACAGCUCAUUUGUUUUUUAGUGCCCAAUAAUAUUCCAUUGCCUGGAUGUACCACAGUUUAUUUUACCAUUCACCUACUGAAAAACAUCUCCUUGCUUCCAAGUUUUGGCAAUUAUGAAUAAAACUACGAUAAAUAUUUGUAUGAAGAUUUUUGUGUGGACAUAGUUUUCAACUCAUUUUAUUAAAUACCAAGAAGCAUGAUUGCUGAAUUAUAUGUGAAGAGGUAUGUUUAAUUUUGUACAAAACUGACAAACUAUCUUUCAGAAUGCGUACACCAUUUUGCAUUCCCACCAGCAAUAAAUUGGAGUUUCUGUUGUUCCAAAUUCUCACCAGCAUUUCAUAGUGUUUGUGUUUUGAAUUUUUACUAUUCUAUUAAUAACAGGUGUGUAAUGGUAUCUCAUUGUUACCUUAAUUUGCAAGCCUCCCUAAUGACGUGUGAUGUUAAACAUAUUUUACAUGUUUGUUUUCCAUCUGUAAAUCUUUGUGAGAUGUCUGUUCAGAUCUUUUGCUCUUUUGUAAUCAUUGUUUCUUUUUAAAUCAUUGAGUUUUAGAGACUCUUUAAAAAUGUAUGUUAGAUCAUUUUACUCCUAUUCUCAAAUAAAAAUAAUGAUCACAUUUAAUCUUCACCAUGAACUGUUCUAAGUGCUAUUCAAAUGGCAUUCCAUCCAUUUUAAGAUGUAUAUUCCUUUUUCUCUUCACUUUAAAAAUAUUUUAAAUUGGGAUGUAUCUCACUGCUGUUGGCCAGGGAGUAGUCAUGAUGUAACUGUCAUUGCCUAUUUAUGCAAAUAAAAACUUGCUAAAGAUGUUGGUGUCAUGGAAGAAAAUCUCAUAGACAAUAAUAAAACAUAAUUUUUAAAAUGUUGCAUCACCAGUGGUCUGAAUGCAAACAAGAAUGAUAUUGGGUAGAAAAAGAAAGACAUAGACAAUCUUAAAUGUAAAAGUUAAAAAAUCCUAAAAGUUACUAAUUGUAAAAAAUAUUUUAAUCAAUUCAUGCAACUUUUAGUUAAGACGUGGAAUGGUGAUGUCAUAGUAUUUUGGGAAAACCCUAAGUAAACCAACCCUCACAAAGGCUGAAACCUAGCAUUGAAUUAUUUCAAUACAUAUUUACAUCAAGUUGAUUCAUCCCUACUCUAUCUGACCACCAGAGAAAAGUAAAUAUCCCCUGGAGAAAGAUAAUAUCAUUCACAAUCUCUCUAACUUUUACAGUCUCUAGAAUGCAAUAAAAAAUUACCAAGCAUGACAGCAGGAAGAAGUAACUAACAGAAAACCUGCAAGUAAUAAAAACAUAGGAAUAAUCAAACAAAAAUAUUAAAAUCAUAUGAUAAACAUGUUCAAGAGAGUAGAGUAAAAGAUAGAGACUAUAUCCCCUGAGAAAUGAAUCAAAUGGGCUGGGUGCCGU